rnacentral:rRNA from 1 species
UGGGCUCAAAUGUAUGUUUGACGUAUUACUGAAAGGGAUACUUCUUUCGGACAAUAUACAAGGUGCUGCAUGGUUGUCGUCAGCUCGUGCCGUGAGGUGUCGGGUUAAGUCCCAUAACGAGCGCAACCCUAUCAUUAGUUGCCAUCAGGUCAAGCUGGGGACUCUAAUGAAACUGCCUACGCGAGUAGUGAGGAAGGUGGGGAUGACGUCAAAUCAGCACGGCCCUUACGUCCAGGGCUACACACGUGCUACAAUGGCCGGUACAAAGGGCAGCUACCUGGUGACAGGAUGCUAAUCUCAAAAGCCGGUCUCAGUUCGGAUCGGAGUCUGCAACCCGACUCCGUGAAGCUGGAAUCGCUAGUAAUCGCGCAUCAGCCAUGGCGCGGUGAAUACGUUCCCGGGCCUU